GCCGCUUUAGCUCAGUUGGUAGAGCGCCACUUUUGUAAAGUGGAUGUCGUCAGUUCGAAUCUGACAAGCGGCUCCA
rnacentral:tRNA from 1 species